rnacentral:tRNA from 1 species
AUCUAUGCCUGAAAGUUA